rnacentral:rRNA from 1 species
AAUGCGUAGAUAUAUGGUAGACACCAGUGGCGAAGGCGGCUGUCUGGUCUGCAACUGACGCUGAGGCUCGAAAGCAUGGGUAGCGAACAGGAUUAGAUACCCUGGUAGUCCAUGCCGUAAACGAUGAGUGCUAAGUGUUGGAGGGUUUCCGCCCUUCAGUGCUGCAGCUAACGCAUUAAGCACUCCGCCUGGGGAGUACGACCGCAAGGUUGAAACUCAAAGGAAUUGACGGGGGCCCGCACAAGCGGUGGAGCAUGUGGUUUAAUUCGAAGCAACGCGAAGAACCUUACCAGGUCUUGACAUCUAGUGCAAACCUUAGAGAUAAGGAGUUCCCUUCGGGGACGCAAAGACAGGUGGUGCAUGGUUGUCGUCAGCUCGUGUCGUGAGAUGUUGGGUUAAGUCCCGCAACGAGCGCAACCCUUGUUAUUAGUUGCCAGCAUUAAGUUGGGCACUCUAGUGAGACUGCCGGUGACAAACCGGAGGAAGGUGGGGAUGACGUCAAAUCAUCAUGCCCCUUAUGACCUUGGGCA